rnacentral:hammerhead_ribozyme from 1 species
AUUAGCUGACGAGUCCCAAAUAGGACGAAAUGGGCUUUAUCCUCGCUGAAU